AUGUCAUUAGAAAAAUUUAAUCAAAAACAAAAUCCUUUAAUGACGUCAUUAAGGUUACCAAAAUCAUUUAACGAAAAUAUUCAUCUCUUAAUUUUAGGGCUUAUUGGAUCUAAAGACGGAUCAUCAAUGAUAACCUAAACUGAAGCAAAAUAUACUGAAUAUUCAAAUAUCUAUUUGUUACCAAAUUAUAAACAAAGAAAAAUUCUUUCUAAUGCCUUUUUCACACUACCCUUUUUCAAUUCUACCCUUUUCUAUUUACCAUUUUCAUUUAUACCCUAUUUAAAUUUUUAAUGACCAUUUUACUUCUAUUUGUAAAUUGAUUUAGGUUAACAAAAAUGAAAUAUUAAUACUUUUUCGCCUAAUAUAUUCCAAAACAUAAUUUUCCGCUAAAAUUUUCCUGCCAAAAAUUUUCGGAAAAAAAAGUUCCCGUCAAAUUUUUUUUUCAAAAAUAUUUUUCCGCCAAAAUUUUCCCACCAAAAAAAUUCGAAAAAAAGUUUCCCGCCAAAAAAAAAAAUUCGAAAACAUUUUUCCCGUAAAAUUUUUUUUUUGACGGGAAAUAGAUUUACAAGGGAUUUUAAAAGGGUUUUAAAAGGGUUUUAAAAGAUUUACAAGAGAUUUUAAAAGGGUUUAAAAGAUUUACAAGGGAUUUUAAAAGAGUUUUAAAAGAUUUACAUGGGAUUUUAAAGGGCUUUAAAAGACUUACAAGAGUUUUUUAAAGAUUUUUAAAGGGUUUUAAAGUGUUUUAAAAGAUUUACAAGAGAUUUUUAAAGGGUUUUAAGAAAUGUACAAGAGUUUUUAACAGAUUUUAAAAGAAAUUAUAAAAAAACUCUUUAAAAACUCUUGUAAAUCUUUAUAAAACCUUUUGUAAAGGUUCACAAGAGUUUUAAAAUGGAUCAAAAAGAAUUGUAAAUGUUUUACAAAGGUUUAAAAUCCUUGUAAAUCCUUUUAAAACUCUUUAAAAACUCUUGUAAAUCAUGUUUUACCAUUUUAUAAGCUUUUAAAAUCCUUGUAAAUCAUUCUAUACCACUUACUUAUCCUUUAAAAACGAUUGUAAACCAUGCAAACCUUUUUUAAAAUCCCUUGUAAAUCAUUCUUUGACACUUACUUAUGUUUUAAAAACGAUUGUAAAUCAAGUAACCCCUUUUAAAAUCCCUUGUAAAUCAUUCAAUGCCACUUACUUAUGCUUUAAAACAAUUGUAAACCAUACAAACACUUUUAAAAUCCCUUGUAAAUCAUUCUAUGCCACUUACUUAUGCUUUAAAAACGAUUGUAAAUCAUGUUUUACCCUUUUAUAAGCUUUUAAAAUCCCUUGUAAAUCAUUCUAAUGUCACUUACUUAUGCUUAAAAAACAUUGUAAAUCAUGCUAACCCUUUUUAAAAAUCCUUGUAAAUCAUUCUAUGUCACUUACUUAUGCUUUAAAAACGAUUGUAAACCAUGUUUUACCCUUUUAUAAGCUUUUAAAAUCCCUUGUAAAUCAUUCAAUGCCACUUACUUAUGCUUAAAAAACGAUUGUAAAUCUUGUAAAACUAUUGUAAAAAGUUUUAAAAUGAUUUACAAAGGUUUAAAAAGGGGUUUUAAAGUAUUUACCUAUAUUUUUAAAGAUUUUAUAAAGAUUUUAAGAGAUUUUAAAAUGAUUUACAAGAGUUUUUAGCAACUAGCAAAGCUUUUAAAAAACUUUACAAGGUUUUUUAAAAGUGUUUUUAAAAAAUUUACAAGGAUUUUUAAAAGUGUUUUUAAAAAAUUUACAAGGAUUUUUAAAAGCAUUUUUUUGGCUGGGAAAAAAAUUUUACGAGAAAAAAUUUUGGCAGAAAUUUUUUUUUUUGACGGGAAUUUUUUUUGUUUUGGCGGGAAAAAAAGUUUGGCGGAAUUUUUUUUUUGGCGGGAAAAAUAAAUUUUUGGCGGGAAACUUUCAGUUUCCAAUUACAUGUUCUUAUUAGAUGAGGGUAAUUUGGUCAUUCUGUUCAAUAGAAGGGAUAUUUUUAAAAAUGAACAAUAUAAAAGGGUAUUGUUGCAAAAGGGUAGUUAAAAAAGGGUAGUUUUGCAAAUCUCCCAUAAACAAAUAAGUUCGUAAAACAAUUUAAUAUUUUAUAUACGAAAUCAAUUAAAUCUUAAUCACAUAAAAAUUAGCACAAAAAGAAAAGUAUUCAACAAUUAAAAAAUUAUCAAAUCUUUGUAUUAUAUAAGUUUUGAUAUUAUAUUCGAAUAAAGUGUAAUAGACCUUUUCAAUUUGUAUUCUUUAACUAAUGUAAGCUACCUAAUAUAUUUGCUAAUCUUAUACCUAUCAAAACCGACUAUCGUUUCUUAUCUUUAUAGUAUUCUUGCAAGACUUUUUUGGUGGAUUUGGAUAAAAGUGCAUUCGGGUUAUAUGGUACAUUCUCCUAUUAAAUAAAUAUGGUGCACUCCUAUGUUAUUAGCUAAAAUGUUCAUAUUAUAAUUCAGAGUCAUAUCAUAAAUAAAAUUAGUAUUAAUAAAAUAAAUGGCUUUUUGGCAAAACGGAUUUGGAGAGACGGGUUUUUGAAUCAACAUUAAUAAAAAAUAUAUAAAAUUAAUCCACCGUUUGAAUACGGGUUAAAUCUUUAAUUUAUUAUUUUUUAAGACCACUAAUAUUAAACAUAUCAAAUCAUCCUAAUUUAGAAAAGAUUAUAUAAAACCAAAGAUGUUAUGUGGUAUGUAUAAUGUUACUAUAUAUAAAAUUAAACUAUAAAAUAUAAAUGUGUUAGAGAAUGAUACAAUUUGCAAAACUUUUAUAUAUAAUAAAUAAUUCUUAAAUUUUAAAAAUUACUACUUUAAAAAAAAAAUACGGGACGGAUAAAGAAAUUAUAGAACGGGUUUUAUUUUGGAAUUGGGUUAUAUGGUGGAUGUAUUUGAAUCAAUAUUUAUAAAAUUUUAAAAUAUUAUUAAUAUGCUGUUUUAAUAGGGGUUAAACUUCAGUUUUUUAACAAUUGUCUCAUGAAUUCGUGGUAUAGCGUUACUUAAUAACAAUUAUAAACUGUAAAAUAUAAAUAUUA
rnacentral:sRNA from 1 species